rnacentral:snRNA from 1 species
GGAUGUAAGGGCGAUCUUACUGCAACAUCUGUCACCCCAUUGAUUGCCAGGGUUGAUUCAGCUAAUCUGGCUGGCUAGGUGAGUGUCCCCUUCCUCCCUCACCACUCCAUGUGCAUCCCUCCCGAAGCUGCGCGCUCCGUUGAAGAGGACGACCUUCUGCUCUAGAGGAGGACCAGUCUUCGGUCAAGGGUAUACGAGUAGCUGCGCUCCCCUGCUAGAACCUCCAAACAAGCUCUCAAAUAAAGUAAAUCUUAAAAAAAAUAAGACUUCCAGUUAACAUUUUCUGGAAAUACAAUUCUUU